UUUGGGGUUUUGGUUUGUUGUUUUUUUUUUUUUUUCCUGGCAAGGUUUUCAAAUAGAGUGGUUUUGAAAACCUUUGAAACCAUUUGACUGUGCAAGUGCCUACUAGGUAAGGAGGCUGAUGAAUUACCAUUGAACAGGAGAAGGAAAUUAACACUAAACAGCUCUUGGAAAGCAAAAUGAAAACUGAAAGCAGAAAACCCAUAAAUGAAAACCAAAUAAGGACUAUAAAAACAUUCAGAAAUUUUUUGAAGUAUGAAAAGUUUUGUGAAAAAAAACCCUAACUUCCCAUUAAGAUAUUAAUGCUUUAGGAAAAUGAUAACUUUCAUUAAAUCAGCUUUGAAUGCAAAUUUUCUUCCUCCUCUGCAGUGCCGAGUGUGAUAGGGAAGGUGUUUCAUGUGAACACAGAUACCUGGAGUGACCCAGGCAAACUAAAUAGCACAGAGGUAUCUGGUUGGAGUCCACCUCCAGGCCCUGUGGCACGGAAAGCAGCAUGAGAGCUCCUGUGAUGAUGUAUGCUUCUGUGGUCUGUGACUGUUCACAGGGUGUCUUCUUAUACAGAUACAGUUUUGAAAGUGGUAUUGCAGCAAGAUGUAAAGAAAUUGACAUGAUUUUGCUGUUUUAAGGAUUCUCAAAGCUUUCCUUGCUUUCUGCAGCUGGCACAAAUAGUUCUGCCUUGAUGGUAUUCUUGCCUUCUCUGGUGUUGGUUUACAAGCUGCAUAUGAGCCUGUGCGUUUGUCUGUGUGUGGCAAUGGUGGAAGAGGGUAAUGAUUAUUUUUUUUACAACAGAAGAGUGUUAACCCUGGAUCUUUGGGCCAAUUCUGUGAUUUUCCACUUGCUAUACCAUAGGCUCUGUAAGGCCUGUGUGGCUAUGGAGUAUCUUAAAAACUAUGGGAGUGUCUGAAGCAGCAGAUAAUCCUGUUACCUUAGUCUCAAACUGGAUCCCCAAAGGGACCAUUUCUCCAAACACCGGUUCUCUUGUCUUUGCCUCGGGUAAGAGCAAAACCCCCUUGGGAUACUGUGAAUUUCCCCCCAUGCUACUCACAGAACUGGGAGGAGCUCUGUGUGCUUUCAGUACUCUUACAUGGGGCUCACAGCUUUCUGUUGGCUCAGGCUCAUCUUUAGAAAAGGGUUGACUCAAAAUAACAUCCAGAUCCAAAUUUGCAAUGGUUAGUGUCUCCAUCUGUCCUGAGCCAAAGCACACUCGCAUCUAGUCUGAGUUUCUGCAUUCUGGGGAGGCUUUGAAUUGUCUUUCUGAACAAAGAUUCAAGCUUUUUGAUGAGUGUUUGGUUUUCUAUUUGAGGAGUAGUUAAUUAGACAUGUUAGCUGUCAUCCCAGCAUUAAACGGCUUGACCCCCAUUCCUCAGAUCUGUUCUGGCAAAGCGCCUAAGCAUGUUCUUUACUUGGAGCAUGUGACUAAUCACCUCAGCUUUGGUAGUCUGUUCAUAUGCUUAAAGUUAAGAAUAUUCUUUCCUGGAUGAUGUUCAGCUUCCUGCAGAGUCCAGCCCCGCUCCUCUCUUCUUACCCUCCCCUUGUAGAUAAAGUGACAUUCUUGUCCUAGCCUGAUAUACCAGGGCUUGUUUGGUCUCCCUUUCUGUGAGGUGGGAAUGCAGGGUCCAUAGGCAAAAGGCUCUUUCCCUCCCAUGGACUUUCAUGUUGCACUGCUGGGACAACAUAUCUCUAUGCUCCAGAGACCACAGAAGAACUUGACUGCAAAGAACAUAGAUGUCAUAAAAUACGAGUCCCAGGGACACAGGAUGAAUUGGCUCAACCUAUUGUGAUCUGUAGGCUGAGAUCUUGCGUGUGGUGAUUCAGUUAUAGUACAGUGAAGUUUUCCUGUGACCACGAUGAGUUAGCUACAGGGGAUUUGCUAUCCAUCUCUGCUGGGAGCACUAUAUAUGUGAUGGGGCUACAUGGCAGGAGUACAUGUGCUCUGAAUCUCAUGUACUGUAUAGGACACCCUCUUCUUCAAGCUAAAGCUGUUUGUGUGUUAAAAUUUCUGACUCAUAUUGGCCACCUGUAUUUAUCAUCUCUCUCUUCUCCCUCUCUGCAAACACACAACUGAUCUUUCCUGAUCUAAAUAGUAGAGCCCCUCCAGUUAUAUUUCUAGUUGGGAUUUUUUUCCUUUCAUUCUAUUCCAGGGGCAGUCACAAGUGGAUCACAAACCACCAGUGACCAGAGCAAUUCCUCUGAAAUAUUGCUUCUGAAAAAUUGCAAUUACUCUUUUAAAUGUUAUUUCAGCUGCAGUAACAAAUAGAAGAGAAAAACCCAACCAACCAAAAAACCCUCACAAAACAAACACAAAAAAAGCCUCAGAGUCCUCCAAACAGAGGAUGCUCAUCGUCUAAGGAGAAAAUUGUGAGAGUUCAGGUAUUCUGCUUUCCUGUAGAUGCAAGUCAUUUGGGACCACUUUCAACUAUGGCAUGUUAGCUGUGCAGUUCAUUGGAUGGUGAACAAAACAGCAUUGGUGAGGGAGAGGAUUGAUAUGCAGAGGGUAUCUCAGAUUCCUAAGGGUUUUUCUGGAAGACUGUGUCUCCAUGGCUGUCCAUUUACCCACUAUGCAGCACCACCAAAUCAGGCUCAUCCCUGGAGCCCACUGAUAAACAGAGCUCAGAAGAAAAUCACUGUAAUCUGUCCUUAAUUCUUGAGUGCCAAGCUAACUGCCAGCAGUGAAAUGGAGAGGAAAUAAUAUGUUACCAAGUAUAGCUUAAAUAAAGACAUACAUUAUUUGGGCUCUUUCUUCUGUGUGUCUCUACAUAAGCCUAGAAGGGCUGUAGGAGUGCUCAGGCACAUUCACACAAACCAACACUGUAUUUCAUUGCCCCCAGGUUUUGCGCUUUUUCAUGGCCCAUACUGCUGUGCUCACCCAGCCAGCAAGGGAAGGCUCAAGGUGAAAAACUGAGACAGCUCUGAAUGAUUGCCAGGCGCCACUGAGAGACAAAGAGUAAAGAGCGUGUGUGAAGCACAAACAGCAUGUAAAGAUUACUGAUGGAUGAAUUUCCAAGGUCAGGAACUCAGUUUCAAGAAAGCCUAAAGUUUGAUAACAGACUCCAGGCCAGAUCUAUACAGUCUUAAUUCUGACAGUCUAAACUGAAAGCUCAUAAAGACAGGGCUUAGCUCAAAACUUAUAGCCCUACUGUUUCGAGUUAUAGCCAGGAAUAUAAUGCAUCUGUUCCAUAGUCCGUUGAAGUCCAUUAGAAAGCUUCCCCUUGGCUCCAGUGAGUUUUGGAUCAGGUGCCUUAGAAAAUGUUUUAGUGCUGUCUUGGUUAACACUGAAAAUUAAAUGCGUGCUUACACACAGUAUCUAAUCUUUGGCUUUAAAUAGUUGUCAGAUACUACCUUUCCUUCUGGAGCCUGGUACAAUGCUGUCAAUUUAAUUACAGUGUGCCUUACACGUGUUUAGGAUUUAACUUGGAGAAAGCCUAGACGAUUGCCUCAAUAUAGGCCACAAGAGGGAAAUGAAAUGGUGGUCACCUCUAGUAAAGCACUUCAGAAUCACAGAUCUGUUGUCCUUCCUUGCUCAGGGAAGAUUUGCAAUGAAAAUAACAGAGGCUUAGAUAGAUUAUCUCCAGGGAAGGUGAGGGAUUGAAAAAAAAGGAAACCUAACAGCAGUUGCUAUAGGUCAGAAUUGACGAGCAUUGGUAGAAUUACGUGAGGACGCUCCAAUGUCGCCCACAGCAUCAGCAGCAGGAAUUGUCAGACCAUCCUAGGACUGCACUUUUAUAUUUCCUUCACUGAUUAACACUCCUGCAGAGUGGCAGAAAGUGACUUCAAACGUUUUCUUGCGUAGGGUGUAUAUACAUGGGCACCCUCACUCCCCUCCUUCCCUAGACACACACACAUGCACAACCCAUAUGAUGUGGGUGCUAGUAACCUGUGAAUAUGUGUACUAUACAGAGAGGAAAUACAUGGCAAAAUGCAGCAUGAGAGUUUGUUUUCUAUUCUUUUAUAAUUAACUCACGAGUUAGAGCGCAAUUCAGAUGCCAUCUGUGUCUGUGCUAGGUUGUGUAUGCAGAACCCAUGGAAAUUAUCCGCUGAAGAGACAUGGGGAAGCACAGUACAACUGGGACCAUUUGGGUAUUCACCAUCAAAAUGUAUUUGGAUAUGUAAGAAAGAGUUGCCAGUAUUCAGCUGAGAUGACACAAAUACGUGUUUCUUUCUGUGCAUUUUGCCUUUGGCCAGAUACAUCCCCCAAAAAGGGAGGCAGUGAGCAGCUCAGGGCAGAAACACCCUGAAACAAUGCAGCAAGACUCCAGAGCUGACCAUCAGUGCUCUUCAGUGUAGGGUUUCGACAGAGCUACUGCUGAUCCAGUCAAUCCUUGAGCUAGCCAUCCUACCUCCAAAAAUGCAGUUGUGUCCACAAGUCCUACCUGCCUUCAGUUGUGCCCCAGAGUCCUUCCUACCUUGUAGUGCCACAGACCACUCAUGUGAAAUACGUACAGGCAUCACUUCCUGAGUAAGGCUGAAGGAAAAUGAAGUCCCGUCAGGCCAGCCUUGUUAUUCAUAAGAUUGAUUCUUGCAACCUGCUGUUGCAAGGUGCUUCUCUAACACAGAUGGCCUCAGCCACAGGAGAACAAAUUGCACCAUAUCACUUCCAAAUCAAAAAUGUUUAUGAUCCUCUGGUGUACAAAUCCCUCUGUGCUGAGAGGCAGCGCCCUGGCAGGACACCACCUGAGUCUGUCCUCUGCAGACGGCUGGUGUGGGCUGUCAGCAGCAUGAAAACUGCAGUUAAUGCUGCUUGGCACAGCAGGAAGCUCCAUAUCCCGUGGCUCUGAGCCCUACCUGUGGCAGCAUAGCAUAGGAAUAUCUCUGUAAAGGCAAUCCCUUCAAGCAGCCUUGUUAUUUUGCCAGCUGGUCAGAAAUAUGCAAACAGUAACAGUGAUUCUGCUGUGGAUGAGAUUAAGAGCCGAGCCUUCAUAAAACUGUGUCACCCGUGUUUUGCCCCAGUUUCAAAGUGAUGUUAGACACCAAGGAGCAUGAAUCAGGUAUGGCUCGGUCUCCUGGGGCCAGCUCCACAAAAGAGCCUCAGCAUCCAAUUUUUCCUUAGGCAGUGAAUAGGAGUAAAAUACUAUAUGCCUUUGGUACCCACAUAUUUAAAAGCCCCAAACAUAUAUGCUCCUAACUGGCUUAAGCUUUUGUGACCUUUUAUCUCAAGAACAGUCUUCAUCUGGCUGUUGGGCAUAAGGCUGUAUUUUUU